AACGAACGCUGGCGGCAUGCCUAACACAUGCAAGUCGAACGAGACCUUCGGGUCUAGUGGCGCACGGGUGCGUAACGCGUGGGAACCUGCCUUUAGGUUCGGAAUAACUCAGAGAAAUUUGAGCUAAUACCGGAUGAUGUCUUCGGACCAAAGAUUUAUCGCCUUUAGAUGGGCCCGCGUUGGAUUAGCUAGUUGGUGGGGUAAAGGCCUACCAAGGCGACGAUCCAUAGCCGGCCUGAGAGGGCGACCGGCCACACUGGGACUGAGACACGGCCCAGACUCCUACGGGAGGCAGCAGUGGGGAAUAUUGGGCAAUGGAGGAAACUCUGACCCAGCGACGCCGCGUGCGGGAUGAAGGCCUUCGGGUUGUAAACCGCUUUCAGCAGGGAAGAAGCGAAAGUGACGGUACCUGCAGAAGAAGCACCGGCUAACUAUGUG
rnacentral:rRNA from 1 species